rnacentral:rRNA from 1 species
CUGCUGCCUUCCGUAGGAGUUUGGGCCGUGUCUCAGUCCCAAUGUGGCCGUCCACCCUCUCAGGCCGGCUACUGAUCGUCGCUUUGGUAGGCCGUUACCCUGCCAACUGGCUAAUCAGACGCGGGCCCAUCUUAUACCACCGGAGUUUUUCACCCUGGGCCAUGCGGCCCUGGGCGCUUAUGCGGUCUUAGCACCUAUUUCUAAGUGUUAUCCCCCUGUAUAAGGCAGGUUACCCACGCGUUACUCACCCGUCCGCCACUAAAGUAAAAUUGUUCCG